rnacentral:misc_RNA from 1 species
CUUGGCUAUUAUUGUGCCCCUUCAGAGAUCCACCUUGAUUCGUGAAUCUCAGCCAAGGGAUUCACUAUGAACCCACCACCACCCUGAAGCUGUAAUCUGUGACUCUCUCCAAGUUUGGCGUUCCCGUAUUGCCAUUUUUAACAGCUCUAUGGCGAAUGGCAGCCAAUGAUGGAGUGCCAGUAGAAGAGAACCUUGAGGUUGAAUAGCAGCUUUCUGUUUUCCUCCAGAACUUGGAGCUCAAAAAAUCAGCACCAGGCAGCAUGCAACAUGUGGUUCUGUGGGAGUUGGUCAUCCUUCCACUUGAUACAGCCAAGUCAUAUGAGAUCUCGUCCAGUGCCAAUUCUAAGCCAUGAACACGUGUCUCAAGAGAACGCAUCCCACUUUGUGAAGUCCCAAUGAAUUUCUGUAGGAGAUCUUGUAGGUUAGAUUGCUGCCUUUCAAUCUGAACAAG